UCCAGAGGUCUCAAGCGUUGUUCGGAUUCAUUGGGCGUAAAGGGUGUGUAGGUGGCGCCGUAAGUCGGGUGUGAAAUUUCGGAGCUUAACUCCGAAACUGCAUUCGAUACUGCGGUGCUUGAGGACUGGAGAGGAGACUGGAAUUCAUGGUGUAGCAGUGAAAUGCGUAGAGAUCAUGAGGAAGACCAGUGGCGAAGGCGGGUCUCUGGACAGUUCCUGACGCUGAGGCACGAAGGCCAGGGGAGCAAACGGG
rnacentral:rRNA from 1 species